CAGCGGUUGAAUUUGCCUUCAAUUCUGCUACCGUGGGACAAGUCGGCAGAGACUGAAUGCUUUUAACUACUUUGGCAUCCAGAUCUUUUCCUGGUUUACCUGAAAACCAACACAUUUUACACUAUAUGCAGAAGAUGCUGGAAAACCAGAGAACGUGCAAGAGCUGGGGGAUUUUUCUGAAGAACAGAAGGCAGUUGAACUGCUCAGGACCAACGCAGGACUCAUGAACAACUUGGAUCAUCCAGGAAACGACACAAAGUAUUAAGAUCGAAGGUUUUAGCAACAGAACAGAAGACGGACGAAAGCGCGAAGAACGAAAUACAUUGAGGAGGAGAAGAUGAGGAUAGGAAACUGCCUGGUGUGUUCCUGGUCGUGUGGUGCAGAGGUUUGGGGUGGAUUUGAGGAUGGCGUGCUGGACUGGCUCUGCUGGGUGAAGUUCGUGGUCCACGAGGAGGAGAUGGACACAAAUUGGAGCUGAACCGCACGGGUGUCACAAUAUGCAGAAGAUGCUGGAAAACCAGAGAACGUGCAAGAGCUGGGGGAUUUUUCUGAAGAACAGAAGGCAGUUGAACUGCUCAGGACCAACGCAGGACUCAUGAACAACUUGGAUCAUCCAGGAAACGACACAAAGUAUUAAGAUCGAAGGUUUUAGCAACAGAACAGAAGACGGACGAAAGCGCGAAGAACGAAAUACAUUGAGGAGGAGAAGAUGAGGAUAGGAAACUGCCUGGUGUGUUCCUGGUCGUGUGGUGCAGAGGUUUGGGGUGGAUUUGAGGAUGGCGUGCUGGACUGGCUCUGCUGGGUGAAGUUCGUGGUCCACGAGGAGGAGAUGGACACAAAUUGGAGCUGAACCGCACGGGUGUCACAAUAUGCAGAAGAUGCUGGAAAACCAGAGAACGUGCAAGAGCUGGGGGAUUUUUCUGAAGAACAGAAGGCAGUUGAACUGCUCAGGACCAACGCAGGACUCAUGAACAACUUGGAUCAUCCAGGAAACGACACAAAGUAUUAAGAUCGAAGGUUUUAGCAACAGAACAGAAGACGGACAAAAGCGCGAAGAACGAAAUACAUUGAGGAGGAGAAGAUGAGGAUAGGAAACUGCCUGGUGUGUUCCUGGUCGUGUGGUGCAGAGGUUUGGGGUGGAUUUGAGGAUGGCGUGCUGGACUGGCUCUGCUGGGUGAAGUUCGUGGUCCACGAGGAGGAGAUGGACACAAAUUGGAGCUGAACCGCA